GACAGAGGGUGCAAACGUUGUUCGGAAUUACUGGGCGUAAAGCGCGUGUAGGUGGCAAGGCAAGUCGGGUGUGAAAGCCCUGGGCUCAACCCAGGAAGUGCACUCGAUACUGCCUCGCUAGAGUCCCGGAGAGGUUGGUGGAACUCUCGGUGUAGAGGUGAAAUUCGUAGAUAUCGAGAAGAACACCGGUGGCGAAGGACGGCCAACUGGACCGGUGACUGACAACUGAGACGCGAAAGCGUGGGGAG
rnacentral:rRNA from 1 species